rnacentral:rRNA from 1 species
CAGCCGCCGCGGUAAUACGUAGGUGGCAAGCGUUGUCCGGAAUUAUUGGGCGUAAAGGGCUCGCAGGCGGUUUCUUAAGUCUGAUGUGAAAGCCCCCGGCUCAACCGGGGAGGGUCAUUGGAAACUGGGAAACUUGAGUGCAGAAGAGGAGAGUGGAAUUCCACGUGUAGCGGUGAAAUGCGUAGAGAUGUGGAGGAACACCAGUGGCGAAGGCGACUCUCUGGCUUGUAACUGACGCUGAGGCUCGAAAGCGUGGGGAGCAAACAGGAUUAGAUACCCCUGUAGUCCCUGUCUCUUAUAC